AUCCCUGUGGCUCAGUUGGUAGAGCAUGGUGUGUGCAACACCAGGGUUGUGGGUUCGAUUCCCACGGGGGGCC
rfam:Salmo salar isolate Sally breed double haploid chromosome ssa05, whole genome shotgun sequence.